AAAAGUAUUUCAUGAGCAUAUUGCUUGUAUGGGUGUCAAAUCAGAUAAGGAUUAUGUAUUUUAGUGGGAGUUUGUAUUGCACAUUUAUGUAAUUGUUCACUAUAUUCAGUAAUUCAGUUAUAUCUGCAGAUAUUCAGUUUUAUAGUUUUUUUGUACUCUUACAGUUUAUGAUUGAUCUCUAUAAAGAGAACCAGUUGGAAAUAGACAUUUUAUUGACCACACUUUAUGUUAUUUCCAUG
rnacentral:lncRNA from 1 species